CGUCCCUCUAGUUUGUGGGUUACCCCAGGGAGUUCUGCUCAUCUUUGCAUCUCCAGGGCCAAUGCUUGAAUGGAAAUGAACCGCUCAUCUAUACAGGAAGUGUCUACUCCAACAUCCCAAGAGUAAAGCUGGACUUUGUCCUCUGCUGUGCACUUUCCCCUCUGUGCCCCAGGCCAGACCCCAACAGCCAGGCCCUGUCCCGUGGGCAGGAACGCCUUCCUGGCCAGGAGCCGCGCGGACUCGAGACCCACACUCAGGGUUGAGCUCCAGACCCUACCAUUUGCUGGUAAGUUUCCGGGCAGGUUUCACAGCCUCUUUGUACCCCAGUGUCACCAUCUAUAAAACGAAGGCACUGGCACUACCCCUGCGUCAGGAUUGUUGUGCGGAUGCGGUGCGAUGCUCCGUCUGAGAUGCUACAGCGCUGCGUGGCGCGUGGGAAGUGCUGCGAAGUGCCAGGCAAGCCUGGUCUGGAUGGCUACUGCCUCUUGCAGUGAUGACUCGCCCUCCAAGUGUCUGUGCCGGCCCCAGGCCCUUCUCUGCCUUUCUCAGAGGGCAGACGGCUGUGGCAGAGGCACCCGGCUGGAGAUGUGCCUCACCAUGCCAGGCAGGCCCGUCCUGGGACUGGCUCGUGGCCCCUCCUCUCGGAACAGCCUCCCCUCCUCUCUCCCUGCCCAGCUGCGCCCACCCUCUCCAGCCAUGCUUCCUCAGAGCCCCGCCCACAGGAGCCCCUUCCUGUCAACCCAGCGCCCCUUAUGGAAAAAUCCCUUUUCCUUUUGUUCAGCUGAGAUUGAGUUGGAAUUUUCCAGUUGGAACUUUUCCUCAGAAACUUAGGGAACCAAAAAUGCACACAGGUCUUAGGAAAAAGGCCACAUUCCACGAGAGUGUAGGUUUCCCCUAUGGUCGAAGCUCAGACCAAAGUUGGAGGGAGAGUUGGUGGGACCCCCUCUCUUGUCCGAGAUCUGAACCCCGCUCACAAAGACCCUCCUUUCAGGCCUCCGCUUCCUUCCCAUCUCCUCUGAGGCUCCCCUGCCCUGCCUGCAUGGGGAGGGAGUCCAGCCCUGGACAUCUUCCCUGGGGGAGAGAGGAAGGGAGCUGGUGCUGGAAGUUUCCCUGUGUUACCAAGGUAACCCUGGCAGCUCAGAUCCUAAAGGCACGUCCAGCCUUGUGACACAGCCACACCCCUUUCCAGAAUUUCUGGGGAAAACCUGCCCAUGUAGCUGGAAUCUUGCCAUUGGCGGGUCGGGUGGGUUCUUAGCUGAAGUUUUCCUUGCAUUGAAGCCUCUUACCUCAGGGGCACCAGGGCCAACACAUGAAGGGUUGGAGACCCCUGAGCCCACGAUGCAAUCAAGUCCUGAGGAUGAGGAAACUGAGGCCCAGAACCUGCACAGGUACACAGCCUGGUAGUGGCAGACCCAAGACCAGAGCCCGGCUCUUCUGACUCUGGGCCAGGGCUGGCUUCCAUAGGACGCGAACCACGGAUAUGCAUCAGGGAAAAUGGCCAGUGUCAUUGCUUCUCGAUGAGAAGGGUAAGAGAUUUUUCUGAAGGCACCACCACUCUGGCCCUGAUCGGUAUGCCGAGGAAGCUGGAGAUCUGCAGGAGGCUGUUGUCUGCCUGGGUCGCAGACUGCUCCAGUUAGAGAACCAACACUUCCCUUACGGAAGAGGGAACUCAACAUGGAGGUGCAGUGCCCUCUUCAACCUCACGUGGCUUUCCAUUCCUUCCCUGGGCCUCUUUGUCUGGAAAAGGAGCGAAGAGUAUGGAAAAAUUAACAGUAACUUCUGGUUUUCCUGGUUCGUGGUUCCUCCACAUGUGGCAGGGCAGGAACCAGCCUGGAAGAGAAGAUUUCCAAGUGCUGCUGAAGACUGGCAGGAUUCUCCUCCAGACCUCCGAGACUCUCUCACUGGCCCAGAUGCCCAUUGGCAUAAGAACUCCACAGAUGCCAUUCUGGUUCAUCAGCCCUACGGUGUCAGAGACUCUUCUGUGUCCUUCAUUGCCAUUUCCUCUGAGCCUCCAAACAGCAUCUAUGCAAGGGUAACCAUGAGGAGUGGGUGUCAGUCAUUGCUGGCUGACUGACAGAAGAACCAAUGAGGUGUGCCAUGUGUGUGAAGAUGGUGUGAGACAGAAAUGAAGUGUGACACUAGUCCCUGCUCUCAAGACACACCUCAUUUAUUUGGGGAGAGCAGAACAACACACACUAAGGAUUACAGUUAUGGUGUUGGCCGUACGUGAAAUAAGAGUUCAGUGAGGAGGGAAUGGGCCGGAACCAGUCAAGAAAGCCUUUGUGAUGAAGGUGAGCAGGAGAUGAAUGUUAAGGAAAGGGAAGAAGAGCUUGGACAGGUGGAGGAGAUGGUGUAGGAUGCUCCAGAUUGUGCGGUUGCCCCUUAGUGGUGGGUGAGAUUGGUGUGAUAAGACCACACCUGGAAAAACCCCCAGAGAAAUCUGAAACCAAAACUCAUGGCAAGAGAGAGACACUUAAUGUUAUUGGAUAAAGAUGUGACAACGUGAGAGAGGGUUGGAAGAGCCUGCAUCCAGCGCAGCUGUGCAGAGUGGACUGGAGAAAAACAAAAUGAGCCGGGGCAGGCAGAUGGGAGGUUAUGCAAAAUCUGGGAAUAAAAGCACGAGCAUCUUGUCUGCAGCAGAGGCGGAAGAGUUCAGACAAAGGAAUUGAUUUGGGAGAAUCAAGUCACCACAUUUCCACCUCUCUCCUCUGCUCUUCUUACUGUUCCUCCUCCCCAAGGAUCGACUGAGCAGAGAGUAGGACGUUUGUUGACUGCCAUCGGCUGCAAGAGCCAGUAACCUGGGCUCCAGCAUCUUCCUCCUGAUCCUCGACAGCUUAGCCAGCCAUCAGUGGUGAAAAGCUGUCAGCAUAAGAGGCUGAACUUCAUCCCACUGCGAGCAGGUAGUCUCUGCAGAACAGAAGCAGACAGAAAACCCCUGAAACAAACUCUAAAAGACAUCAAUUCUGUAUUUAAGGAAAAUUAAUUUUCUGGAUAUGUCGCAAGGAUCUGAUAUAGUGCCUGCCACUUAAUAGAUGCUUAUUAAGCAUUUUUUGAACAAAUGGCUGAGUAGAUUAAUUGAAUUUGCAUACGAUAAUUUUUUCUCUCAUAAUAAAACAGGCCUUCUGUGAAUCCCAACAACAGUCCAAAUUGCUGUGGCCUUGGGCAAGGUAUUGCACCUCUCUGAGAUUCAUUUUCUCACCUGUAAAAUGGAGAUGAUGAUGAUGAUAAUAAUACCCCACACUGUCGGCAGGGCGAAUGAGAUAAAGUAUAUAAAAUUCCUGAAAAAUAAUCAUAAUAAUAAAUUCCAUGAUGAUA